CCUACGGGUGGCAGCAGUGAGGAAUAUUGGGCAAUGGACGCGAGUCUGAACCAGCCAAGUAGCGUGAAGGAUGACUGCCCUACGGUUUGUAAACUUCUUUUAUAAAGGAAUAAAGUGAGGCACGUGUGCCUUUUUGUAUGUACUUUAUGAAUACGGAUCGGCUAACUCCGUGCCAGCAGCCGCGGUAAUACGGAGGAUCCGAGCGUUAUCCGGAUUUAUUGGGUUUAAAGGGAGCGUAGAUGGUUUGUUAAGUCAGUUGUGAAAGUUUGCGGCUCAACCGUAAAAUUGCAAUUGAUACUGGCAGCCUUGAGUACAGAAGAGGUAGGCGGAAUUCGUGGUGUAGCGGUGAAAUGCUUAGAUAUCACGAAGAACUCCGAUUGCGAAGGCAGCUUACUAAACUGCAACUGACAUUGAGGCUCGAAAGUGUGGGUAUCAAACAGGAUUAGAUACCCUAGUAGUC
rnacentral:rRNA from 1 species